GCUCACAGAUCAUUAUUAACAUUCUGUAUAUAAUUCAAUUUUAUUUGCUCUCCCCUUUUUUAUUAUUUUUAUUUUUAUUUUUAGCUGAAAAGACAUAAAGGAAGCCCAGUGGUGUUUCUGUUGAGGGAUUCCUUCAGAAAUGGAGAAGACAGAAAGCUGCGGAGGCAGAUAUCUCCAGCAGUCUAAAAAUAUCGAGCUCAACAGCUAUUUUAAGAGCCAACCCUCACAAACCUUCCUAAAAACUAAAAGAGCUAUUACUGUGUCUCAGCGAAUCUUGCAAUGAUCAGCUCUUCCCAGAAGAUAAGGAAGACCAAGUAAAUGAUUUGCUCAGGAUGAGGAAUGAAGAUGGCCAUCUUGUGCUCAAACAAACAGAAG